UACGAAGGGGGCUAGCGUUGCUCGGAAUUACUGGGCGUAAAGGGCGCGUAGGCGGUCUGUCGCGUCGGCUGUGAAAUCCCGAGGCUCAACCUCGGGUCUGCAGUCGAUACGGGCAAACUAGAGUAUUGCAGGGGAGACUGGAAUUCCUGGUGUAGCGGUGAAAUGCGUAGAUAUCAGGAGGAACACCUGCGGUGUAGACGGCUUUCUGGACCAUUGCUGACGCUGAGACACGAAAGCGUGGGGAGCAAACAGG
rnacentral:rRNA from 1 species